GUUCCCGUGGCCUAAUGGAUAAGGCACUGGCCUCCGAAGCCAGUCAUGUGGGUUCGAUUCCCACCGGGGACA
rnacentral:tRNA from 1 species